CCUAGCAUUUGAUUCCCUACUACCCCACUCUAGGGCUCAAGCAUUGAAAUCACCAGCAAUCACCUUUGGAAUUUAUUGAUGUUAACUAAUAUUUAAUUUUAAAGUAUUUGCUCCUCACGAUGCCCCAUUCGAAUACCUCAAAACGAAACCAAGAACUUCGCAAAUGCGCAAAACACUACCUGAGUACUUUUUGUGAUUCUUCGAUUCUCUAGUUUGCUUGUUUUAUUUUGGUUCUGUUUCGAAUGAGUGAAUCUUUGAUUCAGCAGCAAUCAGACAAAUGAAUACUCAAUAUUCAUUGUAUAUCUUAUUCGAUAAUUAGAAUAUGAUUUAUUAGUACAGUGAAUACAGCCGUUUUUGAGUGUAUUCAUGCAGGUCUCUAUUCCUAGGAAUCAUUUACACCAAAUUUGUAAAUCACGAGGAUUGUGACUACAUAAUUCGUAAAGUGUGUUUCGAUAAUCGCAAGUGGAAUAAUUUGAAGCAAAUUGAAAAAGUUCAAUUUUGAGUGCGUGUUUCGAGUUUGGUUGAAUUUGAUAUAGUAUUGACAGAGAAAUGGCAGACGUAGCAUGCAACGGCUGCAGGUGGUCCCAGGCGGAAUUCUUUUUAAAAUUCGCGAAUUCUGAGAACGAGUCAAUGAAAUUUUUAAGGGCUCAUGGAGUGAUUCUGAAGGAGUUGAAGUGCCUCAAAUGCGAUGCUGACCUGAAGGUUGGCAAAGACUCUUUCUGGCGUUGCCAAAAAACGAUAACUUUUUAUGAAGGUAAGAUGAAGUUUCAAAAGAAAUGUAAUUUUAAGCAGAGCGUAAGGAAAUAUACGUUCUUUGAGAAUUAAAAAUGGAGCAUCGAACGCAUUUGCAGAUAUACAAUGUAUUACAUAACAAUUAAUUCUCCCAAAUUUUCAUUUUUAUUGCAAGAAUUCGACGCAAGCUCGCAUACAAUCGUUGAUUGGAAUAACUUCCUUCGAGAAGUCCUUUUGGAAGGGGCAUUCCAAAAGACAUGCAAAGAAAAAUUAGAUAAGGUCGGAAAAACGGUUAAAAUCGAUGAGGCAAAACUGGGGAAAAGGAAAUAUAAUCGGGGCCGUAUUAUUGAGGGUCAGUGGAUUUUUGGGGCGGUAGAGAGGGAAACGAAAAAGAUUUUUGUUGUUGACGUCCCGGACAGGACGCAUGAAACCUUCGAUAAUAGUUGAAAGGAUAGAAAAAGGAACAAAGAUUAUAUCGGCUUGUUGGCCGUCCUAUUCCCGGCUUGAAGAAUAUGGUUUCAUCUACGAGACGGUGAAUCACUCCAAAAACUUUAUUGAUUCUCAAUCUGGUGCGGACACCCAAAAUAUCGAGAGGAAUUGGAGGGAGUUACGGUCAAAAAUUCCUAAAUAUGGCGGAAAAAAGAAUCACUAUGCCGGUUAUUUAGCUGAAUAUUUGUUUUUGAGAGCUUACCCGGUUAUGCGGGACAGAGUACAUGAACUGUUCCAAGCAAUCGGGCAGCUGUACAGUCUUUCCAAUCAAACUGGAAGUGUCUGUGGGGAGAUAGAGAUAGUGGGGGAAGAUAUUGGUGGACCGAAUGAAGAAGAGGAAGAGUAUGAGGAGGUAGAAAUAUAUUAAGACGAGUGAUGUGAAUGAUGUAAUUGUUAUUUUUGUUUUUGUAUUAUUGAAAAUUUUGUUUGGUUUAAUUUUAAAAUAUGUUUAGUUAUAGUUAUAUUUAUUCAUAGUUACAUAUAGUCAUAGUCAUACGUAGUUAUAGUUGUAUUUAGUCAUAGUUAUGUCUUCUUCUUUUUCUUCAGCCUUUGUCCCGUUCACAAGCGGGGUCGGCACGUCGUGAUCGGUUUCGCCAUUUGGUUCUAUCAAAAGCUUGAUCUGCAUGCAAUCGCGAGGGCUUUUA